CCACCAUGCCGCGUGUGUGAAGAAGGUCUUCGGAUUGUAAAGCACUUUAAGUUGGGGGAGGAAGGGCAGUAAGCUAAUACCUUGCUGUUUUGACGUUACCGACAGAAUAAGCACCGGCUAACUCUGUGCCAGCAGCCGCGGUAAUACAGAGGGUGCAAGCGUUAAUCGGAAUUACUGGGCGUAAAGCGCGCGUAGGUGGUUUGUUAAGUUGGAUGUGAAAGCCCCGGGCUCAACCUGGGAACUGCAUCCAAAACUGGCAAGCUAGAGUAUGGUAGAGGGUGGUGGAAUUUCCUGUGUAGCGGUGAAAUGCGUAGAUAUAGGAAGGAACACCAGUGGCGAAGGCGACCACCUGGACUGAUACUGACACUGAGGUGCGAAAGCGUGGGGAGCAAACAGGAUUAGAUACCUGGUAUCCACGCCGUAAACGAUGUCGACUAGCCGUUGG
rnacentral:rRNA from 1 species